GGGAUUAUAGAUUAAUUGGUAAAUCUUACGCUUUGCAUGCGUAUGUUAUCGGUUCAAUUCCGAUUAAUUCCA
rnacentral:tRNA from 3 species